UAUCUCUGUAGAGUCUGCAUAUCAAUAAGCGGAGGAAAAGAAACUAACAAGGAUUCCCUUAGUAACGGCGAGUGAAGCGGGAAGAGCUCAAAUUUGAAAUCUUCAAGGUUUUACCUUGACGAAUUGUAGUUUAAAGAAGUGUUUUCUGUUGAAGUUUCGGUAAAAGUUCUUUGGAAUAGGACAUCAUAGAGGGUGAGAAUCCCGUAUUUGACCGUUAUUUUCAGCUGUGUGAUACACUUUCAAAGAGUCGGAUUGUUUGGGAAUGCAGUCCAAAAUGGGUGGUAAAUUUCAUCUAAAGCUAAAUAUUGGCGAGAGACCGAUAGCGAACAAGUACCGUGAGGGAAAGAUGAAAAGAACUUUGAAAAGAGAGUUAAACAGUACGUGAAAUUGUCAAAAGGGAAGCGUUUGACACCAGUGUUGUUUUCUCGAAAAUCAAUUAAAAAUAGAUUUGAUUUUGUGUUGUAUUGACCUUAAAAGCUUUCUUCACUUUUUUCAUGUUUAUUUUUAAUGCACUUUUCGUUUAACAAGUCAACAUCAGUUUCUUUUGUUGUAAAAAGGUCAUUGGAAGGUGGCUUUCUUUUCGGAGAAAGUGUUUAUAGCCUUUGACUCCUGCAAUCGGAGAGACUGAGGUCUGCAGCGUAGAUCCUUCUGGAUUAGAUUCAUUUGUGCUAAGUUAUAGCUUUUCAUAGACAACUUGUUGACUAUGUUUAGUCUUGUAGCUUACUCGCUUAUGUAAUUUUACCUACGCUUAGGAUGUUGAUCUCUCACAGUCGAGC
rnacentral:rRNA from 1 species